rnacentral:rRNA from 1 species
UACAGAGGUCUCAAGCGUUUGUUCGGAUUCAUUGGGCGUAAAGGGUGUGUAGGUGGCGCCGUAAGUCGGGUGUGAAAUUUCGGAGCUUAACUCCGAAACUGCAUUCGAUACUGCGGUGCUUGAGGACUGGAGAGGAGACUGGAAAUUCAUGGUGUAGCAGUGAAAUGCGUAGAGAUCAUGAGGAAGACCAGUGGCGAAGGCGGGUCUCUGGACAGUUCCUGACGCUGAGGCACGAAGGCCAGGGGAGCAAAACGGGG